GACGAACGCUGGCGGCGUGCUUAACACAUGCAAGUCGAACGGAAAGGCCCUGCAUUUGUGGGGUGCUCGAGUGGCGCACGGUUGAGUAACACGUGAGUAACCUGCCCUUUACUUUGGGAUAACUUCAGGAAACUGGGGCUAAUACCGGAUAUGAGCUCCUGCUGCAUGGUGGGGGUUGUAAAGUUUCGGCGGUUUGGGAUGGACUCGCGGUUUAUCAGUUUGUUGGUGAGGUAGUGGCUUACCAAGGCUUUGACGGGUAGCUGGCCUGGGAGGGUGACCGGCCACAUUGGCACUAAGAUACGACCCAUACUCCUACGUCAGACAGCAGUGGAAAAUAUUGCACAAUAGGCCGAAGCCUGUUACAACAACGUCGCGUCCGAAAUGACGGCCUUCGGGUUAUAAACCUCUUUCGCCUGUAACGAACCUUAAGUGACGGUAAUUACUAAAAAAGCACCGGCUAACUACGUG
rnacentral:rRNA from 1 species